AUAUCUCUCUGUACGGUAAGGAUGAGAAGCUUCGACUAAGGUUCGAUUCGAGCGUCAGCGAGAAAGCGUUGCCGCAGGCAACGACCCGAAGGGCGAAGCGCGCAGCGCUGAGUCAUCCUUCCCCCACCACCA
rnacentral:sRNA from 2 species